rnacentral:rRNA from 1 species
GAUGAACGCUGGCGGCGUGCCUAAUACAUGCAAGUCGAGCGAAGCGGGGACGGGUGAGUAACACGUGGAUAACCCCCUAUAUGACUGGGAUAAAUUCGGGAAACCGGAGCUAAACCGGAUAAUUAUAGAUGGAUCCGCGUUGCAUUAGCUAGUUGGUAGGGUAACGGCUUACCAAGGCAACGAUGCAUAGCCGACCUGAGCGGGUGAUCGGCCACACUGGAACUGAGACACGGUCCAGACUCCUACGGGAGGCAGCAGUAGGGAAUCUUCCGCAAUGGGCGAAAGCCUGACGGAGCAACGCCGCGUGAGUGAUGAAGGUCUUCGGAUCGUAAAACUCUGUUAUUAGGGAGGCGUUACCUGAUCAAAAAGCAACGGCUAACUACGUGCCAGCAGCCGCGGUAAUAC